AUGAAUUCCAUUAAGUUUCCCGUACUUGAUCGAACAACAAAAAACUCAGUUAUUUCAACUACGUUAAAUGAUCUUUCAAAUUGGUCAAGACUUUCCAGCCUAUGGCCGCUUCUUUAUGGUACCAGUUGUUGUUUUAUUGAAUUUGCCUCAUUAAUAGGCUCCCGAUUUGACUUUGAUCGUUAUGGGCUAGUACCAAGAUCAAGUCCUAGACAGGCGGACCUUAUUUUAACAGCAGGUACAGUAACAAUGAAAAUGGCUCCUUCUUUAGUGAGAUUAUAUGAACAAAUGCCUGAACCAAAGUAUGUUAUUGCUAUGGGAGCGUGUACAAUUACAGGGGGAUGUUCAGUACCGAUUCUUAUAGUACUGUUCGAGGGGUUGAUAAGCUAAUUCCUGUAGAUGUCUAUUUGCCGGGUUGUCCACCUAAACCAGAGGCUGUUAUAGACGCUAUAACAAAGCUUCGUAAGAAAAUAGCUAGAGAAAUCUAUAAGGAUCGAAUUAGACCUCAACGGGGUAAUCGGUGUUUUACUACCAAUCACAAGUUUUUUGUUGUACGCAGUACACAGACUGGAAAUUAUGAUCAAGAAUUACUCUAUCCACCAUCAUCUACUUCAGAGAUCUCUACUGAAACAUUUUUUAAAUACAAAAGCCCAGUAUCUUCCCACGAAUUAGUGAAUUAGGGAGGAUUUGAGAGAAUAAGAAAAAAAUCUUCAUAAAUUAGAACUCAUGGUAAAUGUGAAAUACUUAAAUUUAUAUAAAAAAGGUGUGGGGGAAAUAAAAAAGAUGCAGGGCACUUUGUCCGUUUGGCUAGCCAAACGCGGGCUGGUUCAUAGAUCGUUGGGCUUCGAUUACCAAGGAAUAGAGACUUUACAAAUAAAGCCCGAAGAUUGGCAUUCUAUUGCUGUAAUUUUAUAUGUAUAUGGUUACAAUUAUUUACGUUCCCAAUGUGCCUAUGAUGUGGCACCAGGUGGCCUCUUAGCCAGUGUGUAUCAUCUUACGAGAAUAGAAUAUGGUGUCAAUCAAGCGGAAGAAGUUUGCAUAAAAGUAUUUACUCACAGGAGUAAUCCCAGAAUUCCAUCUGUUUUCUGGGUUUGGAAAAGUACGGAUUUUCAAGAACGGGAAUCUUAUGAUAUGUUAGGAAUCACUUAUGAUAGCCAUCCGCGGCUGAAACGGAUCUUAAUGCCCGAAAGUUGGAUAGGGUGGCCUUUACGUAAGGAUUAUAUUGCCCCCAAUUUUAUGAAAUACAAGAUGCUUAUUGAAUGAUAAAAAAUUUGAAUGAUAAAAAUGAGUCUUAGUUUCUACAACUACGGACCUUCGCGGAAUAUUUUGAAUUCGAGUCGUUUUUAGAUCAAACAAACAGAAGAAUUAAGGUCUUAUUCAUAUUAUUAUAGAUAGCUUAAUCUCCAAUUUGAAAGAUACUUUUUUCCUAAAAGCCGAGCCAAUAGGAUGAACUAAAAAAAAAAAAAAGAGUUCUGCAUUAUGAACUUUGUAUCGCGCACAUAACUUAGUCAACUUUAGUCACAUAACUGGGAAUGAAUAAAUAAGAUUGGAAAGCAAUACAAUAAAUGGGGGGGUUAAAAUUCUAUUUCUAUUGUAUCUAAUCUAAUGAAUCUUGGGGGUAUUUCUGCCCUUCAACGAUAGAUACUAUAGAUAGAUAUAGAUAGAUAGAUAUAGAUCUUUUUUUUUUUACUUUUUUUUAUUCUUUCAACCAGAACUUUCCUUUCGAAUAUGUAUUAGGUAUAAAGUCUUAUACAUUUUUUUUGAACGGAUGGAUCCACAACAUGAACAAAAAAGAGAGGGGGAUAAAGGAUUAUUGCACUUUUUUUACUAAAGAUACGUUUAAUUUGAAGACUAUAAACUUAUCAAAAUUAAUCAAUCCUAUGCCAAGAACCAGAUUUGAACUGGUGACACGAGGAUUUUCAGUCCUCUGCUCUACCAACUGAGCUAUCCCGGCCAUUACCGAAGUAUCAUUCUCAUUUUAUGAGAUGACUUAGGUCUAUGUCAAUUAAAAGAAACGCAAAAGUAGUAAAUGAAAAAAGUUUUGGACCGGGAAUUUAUUGGAUCUUCGAAAAGAAGACUUUCUAAGUUUUAGAAUGAAAAAUUAUUUAGAUUCGAAAUAAUUCAAAUCGAUAGUUCUUUCUCAUUUGUAUAUGUAUGAUAUAUCCCACAAGACUUGUAUAUAAUAAGAAAAGAAAUUCGAGUUUGUAAAAGUGUCGGAUGAAUGAAAAAAGAUCAAUGAAUUCUUGAAUAACUAAAAAAAGGGUAAGGUGUCAAACAGACUUUUUUAGGGAGUAGGGUUGGGGAUAGAGGGACUUGAACCCUCACGAUUUUAAAAGUCAACGGAUUUUCAUCUUACUAUAAAUUUCAUUGUUGUCAGUAUUGACAUGUAGAAUGGGACUCUAUCUUUAUUCUCGUCCGAUUAAUAAGUUCCACCAAGGAUCUAUCAGACUAUGAAGUGAAUCGUUUGAUUCAACACAAGGGAUUGAACUCCAUUUGUUAGAACAGCUUCCAUUGAGUCUCUGCACCUAUCCCGCUUUCUAAACUCUGGUUUGUUCGCGUAACCCAGGAUUUGGCUCAGGAUUGCCCAUUGUUAAUUCCAGGGUUUCUCUGAAUUUGAAAGUUAUCACUUAGUAGGUUUCCAUACCAAGGCUCAAUCCAAUUAAGUCCGUAGCGUCUACCAAUUCCGCCAUAUCCCCCUUUUUGCUUUGAGAUUAGGAUCUCAUUAUGAUGUCUUUCCACUUUUUCUUAUGACGAAACCUUGGAAUUCAUUACAUACAGAUACUUAUUUUAUUUCUUUGGUAUCUUCUUGCAUUUUUUUUAGCCCCAUCCAUAUUGAUUUAGUUUAAUCAACAAAGAUUCUAUCAUUUUUGUAUUUGCAAUUCAAUAUGGUUAUAUAUUAGAGAACAUAUAUAUGUUCUUCCUUUUCUCAUCGUUGUCUUCAAUUUUAAGAAAUAGUCGAACGGUCGAUUCGUUUUUUUUACUUCCAUGAAAAGAAAUUUAUGAUCAUUAUUGAAACUUAGAAUUCUACAAUGUGCAAUGUAAAAAGAUUAUAAGUCUACUUCGUAGAUUUGAAAUUCGAAUAAUUCUAAAAAAGUAUAUUCGAAAUGAAUAUUCGAAUAUUCAUUCUAAUAAUUUAAUUCUAUAAAAUAAUAAAGAAUAUAAAAAGAGAAAAAGUAUCAAAUAAUAAUAAUUGCAUGAGGUUAGAACAAAAAAACCAAGAAUUUCAAAUCAGAUAUCAUUUAACUUUAAAAAAAAAGCUUUCCGGUCUAAUUAAAAUUUUCUUAUUUAGAAACUCAUGAAAUCAAAAUUAGAAAGUCGAUAUAUUGCUAUAUUAUAUUAAUUCAUUAAGGUUUUGUUUUAUUUAUUUAAUGAUAGUCACUAUUUAUUUGAGCUAUAUUCUGUUCUAGAAUAUCGAAAAUAUGAUGAAUUCUAAAUAGAUAAGGAAAAAUAUGAAUAGAAUAGUUAAUUAAUACGAUCUAGUAGUUUAGUGAAUUUGUAUACACUAUUUUAGUUGAGCCCGCUUAGCUCAGAGGUUAGAGCAUCGCAUUUGUAAUGCGAUGGUCAUCGGUUCGAUUCCGAUAGCCGGCUUUUACAUAGUUUUUCAUUUUUUUUACAUGAUUUUUAAUGUACUUUCAAAAAAAAAUAAGAUUGAAAAGACUUCUUUCACCUUUUUCCAAGAGUUACCACGCCAUUUAUAUUAUGUCAUAUAAACUUCCAUAUAGGAAUAUAUAUUGGGGUAAAAGGGUUAGAUCUUGGCAAAAUAAAUGAAGAAAAUAAAGGAAAAUUUUUGUGAUUUAUUGAUUUAUAUAUAUUGUAUAUACAAUAAAAAAAAUCUGUAUAUUGAGAGAAUAUAUCUUCUGACUCUUUGUAUUCCAAUAGUUUAUUGGAGUGGAUUUUACGUUAUUUAUCAUUAUCAUUUAGUUCAGUUUUAAUUUUGUUUAGUUUUUGUACAAUUUCAAUAAAAAAAGGAGUCUUUAUGUCACGUUACCGAGGGCCUCGUUUUAAAAAAAUACGCCGUCUGGGGGCUUUACCGGGACUAACUAGUAAAAGGCCUAGGGCAGGAAGCGAUCUUAGAAACCAAUCACGCUCCGGAAAAAAAUCUCAAUAUCGUAUUCGUUUAGAAGAAAAACAAAAAUUGCGUUUUCAUUAUGGUCUUACAGAACGCCAAUUACUUAAAUAUGUUCGUAUCGCCGGAAAAGCUAAGGGGUCAACGGGUCAAGUUUUAUUACAAUUACUUGAAAUGCGUUUGGAUAACAUCCUUUUUCGGUUGGGUAUGGCUUUGACUAUUCCUCAAGCGCGCCAAUUAGUUAACCAUGGGCAUAUUUUAGUUAAUGGUCGUAUAGUUGAUAUACCAAGUUAUCGAUGCAAACCCCGAGAUAUUAUUACAGUGAAGGAUGAACAAAACUCUAGAACUUUGGUUCAAAAUCUUCUUGAGUCAUCUGCCCCCGAGGAAUUGCCAAACCAUCUGACUCUUCACACAUUCCAAUAUGAAGGGUUAGUCAAUCAAAUAAUAGAUAGGAAAUGCGUCGGUUUGAAAAUAAAUGAAUUGCUUGUCGUAGAAUAUUACUCUCGCCAGACUUAAAAAACCUAAGUGAAGUAAAAAAAAAUCACUAAAAACAAGAGUUCGGACAACUCCCCUUUGCCCGCUUUUUUGAUUAAAACUAAAAAGGGACAAGGUAAGGGAUUUUGUCGGGGAAUCUUUUUCCUAUUCAUGUAUCAUAGAUUGGUAGGGAGGUUUGGAUCCCUUGUUUGCUCUUCCCAGCAUUUUCCAUAGCAAAGAAAUGUAGAUUUUAUAUCUAGAAAAAUUGGAAGUAGAUAGAAUAUUUUUUUAUAAAAAACGAGUCCGCUUUUAUGUUAGUUCGUACUAUAAAAUUCCUUUGUUUGUGAGAAAAUUUUCUCACAAAAGAAAAGUUAAAGGAAAUAAAAAGAGUUAUAGAAUGGAUUACUACCUAUGCCAAGAUCGCGUAUAAAUGGAAAUUUUAUUGAUAAAACCUUUACAAUUGUAGCCGAUAUCUUAUUACGAGUCAUUCCGACAACUUCCGGAGAAAAAGAGGCAUUUACUUAUUACAGAGAUGGUGCGAUUUGAUUAUCAUUAUCAUUUUUUUCUAUUUCUCACCGAUUUGGAAUAGAAAAAAAUGAGUAUUGAAAAAAAUCUACGCUUUUGAAGGUGAAGUUUAUAAUAUAAAAAAGCAAUCCCUUCUGUCAUGUAUCCACGAUUAGUGCAGCCUUAGAUGCUUCAAUUAUGAAUUCUAGUAUUGAGCAAAAGGUUUUUUACCUACGGUUCCCGUAUUACAGAUCAAUCCUACUAGACUAAUACAAUAUACGAAUAGGAGGCACAGGGGAAGAAGCACUACGCCGAGAAAUCAACAACACGAAAACUUUCUUCAAAAAGAUUCCUUUUCUUUCUUCUUCUUUGGGAUUGGGACUAAUUAAAAUGGUUGGAACAAUAAACAUCCAUCUCGUCCGUACUUUGGAUACCCGUAUAACCAUUGAAGACUGUUGAAGUGACUAAUUCCUGGAAAUUUAGGGGCGUUGAGAACAAAGAAAUUGUUAGAGUUUCCUUUUUUAUUUUUAUCUAGUAUGAAUAUGAAUCCACUUGGUAGUAAGAAAAGAUCUUUUACAAGAAGGUUGGCUAGGGAUUUCUUGUAAAAACAUUAGCCCCGCUUAGUUCAUAAUGACAUCAAAUUUUUCCAUAUCCAUAUAUUUAUUAUUUUCAUUAUGCACCUAAAGGAGGAGCCGUAUGAGAUGAAAAUCUCACAUACGGUUCUGAAACGGAGAAUUCGUUAAAGCGAAUGACGACCGUAACGGAUGUCGGCUCAAUCUGAAGGAAAUUAUGCGGAAGCAUUACAGAAUUAUUAUGAAGCUAUGCGACUAGAAAUUGACCCCUAUGAUCGAAGUUAUAUACUCUAUAAUAUAGGCCUUAUCCACACAAGUAAUGGGGAACAUACCAAAGCUUUAGAAUAUUAUUUUCGGGCAUUAGAACGAAACCCCUUUUUACCACAAGCUUUUAAUAAUAUGGCUGUGAUCUGUCAUUACGUGCGACUAUCUCCACUAUAGAAAAAAAGAACGAACAGCUAGUCAAUGAAAUACUAGAAAAAAAAAAAGGCUUUCUACAUAAGCAUCGUCCAAAACGAUUUUUUAUCAGCUGUAGCAAAUAAAUAAACUUCAUGGAUCGAAAUAUGAAGUGAAGACUAGAUAUGCCUAAAUACUUUAUUUUCUAUGGAUAAAAAAAGAUUUAAUUGAUAGAGGAAGCACCGUAAAGAUCAACUGGAAAGGUUUUGGACCGAUACAACAAGAGCUGUUUAUUUAUAUCAUAAUAUGAGAUAAAUCUUAGAAAUCUACUUAUGUAAUAGAGUGGAUCCCCUAAGGUAUUGAGCAGCGGUGUAGCAUCAGAUCCUAAAGACAGUAAGUCUUUUUCUUUUUUAUGAUAUGAAGUAUGAAAAAAAGUCUUUUUCAACGAUUCUAUAUAAAUUUAUAUAUGAAAGCGGGAUAGUUACCUUUCAGAAAAUUCUAAUAUCUAAUAACAGUGGACAUGCCUUUUUUUUUCUGAAGGUAGGAGAAAAGAUAAAACUUAUUAUUAGAUUAAUUAAUAUAUUAAUUAAAUCAAAACGAAAGUUUGAAACUCAUGUAAUUACUCUCUUUUGUUUAAUCCAAGAAAAACCGAAUGAAUAUCUAUAAGAAAUCUCAUUCAAUUAGAUAUAAAGUUAAAGUAGGUUAAAGUGAAAAAAACUGGUACACCAAAACAAAAGAGUUGGUUGUCGAGCCGUAUGAGGUAGGAAACUCUCAAGUACGGUUCUCAGGGAGGGAAUUGACCCGCCUAUUCCGACCGUGGAGAACAGGCCAUUCAACAAGGAGAUUCUGAAAUGGCGGAGGCUUGGUUUGCUCAAGCCGCCGAGUAUUGGAAACAGGCUAUAACGCUUACUCCUGGUAAUUAUAUUGAAGCACAGAAUUGGUUGACGAUCACGAGGCGCUUCGAAUAAGAACUUUUUCUUUGUUUCUUUUUUUUUUAUUCUAUAAUAUAUCUUUAUUUGUUUUUACAAUUAAUUGUUUUUUAGUUUCUUGGCCCUCUCGGUCAAAUAAACCAGAUUCUUUUUUCUAUCAGAAGAACCAAUCCCAGAAAAAAAUUUCAUUAUAUCCUUUUCUCAAAUCGUUCUAUUUAAUCUGGUAUUCUCUAGGGAUAAGUAGUACAUGAAUAUGAGAAUAUCUAUAAUAUCUAUAUCUAGUUUUUUCUAUUUUUUUCUUUUCGACUAUUAAAACGAAUAAAAGGGAUUUGAAAAUGACUAAAUAUCAAUACUAGAAUGUUUCUUAGUAAUGACUAAUAAGCGGUUAUUGAAAUAGGAUAAUAUCCUCUAUUUAAAACAUAAAAAAUAGGCUAUAUUUCGGAACUUAUAAUUGAAAUAUGAAUACACUAGAUUAGGUUAUAAAAAAAAAUUAUUUGUGUACCAAUACUAAUGUAAAGGUGCGAAAACGCUUUUUAA